UACGGAGGGGGCAAGCGUUAUUCGGAAUUACUGGGCGUAAAGCGCACGUAGGCGGCAAUCCAAGUCAAAGGUGAAAGCCCUCGGCUCAACCGAGGAACUGCCUUUGAAACUGCAUUGCUUGAGUCCGGGAGGGGGGAGCGGAAUUCCCAGUGUAGCGGUGAAAUGCGUAGAUACUGGGAGGAACACCGGUGGCGAAGGCGGCUCCCUGGACCGGUACUGACGCUGAGGUGCGAAAGCGUGGGUAGCAAACAGG
rnacentral:rRNA from 1 species